GAUCCUGGCUCAGGAUGAACGCUAGCGGCAGGCUUAACACAUGCAAGUCGAGGGGUAGAAGUCUUCGGACUUUGAGACCGGCGCACGGGUGCGUAACGCGUAUGCAAUCUGCCUUUCACAGAGGGAUAGCCCAGAGAAAUUUGGAUUAAUACCUCAUAGUAUAACACAACCGCAUGGUUGAGUUAUUAAAGUCACAACGGUGAAAGAUGAGCAUGCGUCCCAUUAGCUAGUUGGUAAGGUAACGGCUUACCAAGGCAACGAUGGGUAGGGGUCCUGAGAGGGAGAUCCCCCACACUGGUACUGAGACACGGACCAGACUCCUACGGGAGGCAGCAGUGAGGAAUAUUGGACAAUGGGCGCAAGCCUGAUCCAGCCAUGCCGCGUGCAGGAUGACGGUCCUAUGGAUUGUAAACUGCUUUUGCACAGGAAGAAACAGCUCUACGUGUAGAGUCUUGACGGUACUGUGAGAAUAAGGAUCGG
rnacentral:rRNA from 1 species